UACGUAGGGGGCAAGCGUUGUCCGGAUUCAUUGGGCGUAAAGAGCGUGUAGGCGGCCAGGUAGGUCGGUUGUGAAAACUGGAGGCUCAACCUUCAGAGGUCGACCGAAACCAUCUGGCUAGAGUCCGGGAGAGGAGAGUGGAAUUCCUGGUGUAGCGGUGAAAUGCGCAGAUAUCAGGAGGAACACCGGUGGCGAAGGCGGCUUGCUGGGCCUUACCUGACGCUGAGGAGCGAAAGCGUGGGGAGCGAACAGG
rnacentral:rRNA from 1 species